rnacentral:rRNA from 1 species
CACGUAGGGGGCAAGCGUUGUCCGGAAUUACUGGGCGUAAAGGGUGCGUAGGCGGUAUAUUAAGUCAGGUGUGAAACCCCACGGCUCAACUGUGGGCUUGCACAUGAAACUGGUAUGCUUGAGUACAGGAGAGGAAAGCGGAAUUCCUAGUGUAGUGGUGAAAUGCGUAGAUAUUAGGAAGAACACCAGUGGCGAAGGCGGCUUUCUGGACUGUAACUGACGCUGAGGCACGGAAGCGUGGGGAGCAAACAGG